UACAGAGGGUGCAAGCGUUGUUCGGAAUUAUUGGGCGUAAAGCGCGUGUAGGCGGCAGAGCAUGUCGGGUGUGAAAGCCCUCGGCUUAACCGAGGAAGUGCGCCCGAAACUGCUCCGCUGGAGUGCUGGAGAGGGUAGCGGAAUUCCCGGUGUAGAGGUGAAAUUCGUAGAUAUCGGGAGGAACACCAGUGGCGAAGGCGGCUACCUGGACAGACACUGACGCUGAGACGCGAAAGCGUGGGGAGCAAACAGG
rnacentral:rRNA from 1 species